rnacentral:rRNA from 1 species
AGAGGGGGCGAAGCGUUGUUCGGAAUUACUGGGCGUAAAGGCGCGUAGGCGGCCUCUUAAGUCGAACGUGAAAUCCCCGGGCUCAACCCGGGAACUGCGUCCGAUACUGGGGGGCUUGAAUCCGGGAGAGGGAUGUGGAAUUCCAGGUGUAGCGGUGAAAUGCGUAGAUAUCUGGAGGAACACCGGUGGCGAAGGCGGCAUCCUGGACCGGUAUUGGACGCUGACGGCGCGGAAAGCCAGGGGAGCAAAGCGGGGAUU